UCCCGCUUUCUCCUCCCCAACCUUGGAUCUUCUUCCAAGCUUCCCAUAACCCACUAUAGAAAUUGGCGAUUCAUCCCUGAUCGGUCAUCGUCUCCUUCUUGUGAUUUCAUUUCAGGGCUUUUCGAAUCGAACCAAGUCGUUCUUAGUGCUGCUGAGCUCCGUCACGUUUCUGAUCUUCAAUUCGAUUCAUCCAGUGCCAGAAUUGUAAGUUUAACUUAAUUUUCACUCCUGUUGCAUCGUUUUCAUCCGAAUGGGGAUGUUCACCUCAAGCAUAUCAAGAAUGAAGGAGCUCUUUGUGGUUCCGGCAACCGAGAUGAGACCAAAACCGGCAUGGCACUUCGGACAACCGUACGGUAAAUAAACUGAGGUCAUGAAUCAUGAUUGGGAGUGGCAGAACAAGCUAUUCAUUCCUUCUAAUGAUCUCCUUUUUCUGUAAGGUUUAAAUCAUAGAUUUUGUACCUCAUAUUGAGAAGGCUCUCAAUUUUAAAACUUUUUGAUGGAUGUAUGCGUAUUACUGCUUUGAGUACGUGGCUACCAUUGCUUAUAAAGUAGAGGUCGAAUAAUGAUAAGUUUUGCACCAGGUUCUUACUUCUUUGUAAUUAUCGAAGCUUCAUAAAGGGAGUUACAAUGGUGUGGAUGUUGCUAUUAAACUUAUGAAAAAACCAAAGAAUAAAUUGUUAAUUCAAAACUACUAUUUUUUCAUAUUCAUAAUUUCUAAUGAUCAAUUUAUAUUGUUAAUUAAAAGAAAUAAGUUAUUAUAAAUGAAGAGACACUCUAAAAUUCCUAUUGUAUAUAUGUUUUAUCAAUACUAAUAUUUUUUCCAACAUCACAAUAAGAGUUAUACGCUUACAAUACUUUCUACAAGUGUAUCAUAAGAAAGUGGCUAAAGGUAUUAUGUUAUUGGUCAAAUUGAUCGCUCUGCUGAAUUUGUAUAUUUUAAUAAUCAUGCAUCUUGUAGAGCUGGAAAUGAUGAAAGAAUGAUUUUCAAAGAUUUUGCUAGGCAAAGAUAUGUCAGGAACAGGCAAAGGAGCCUCACCAAUGUUACUUUCUCUAAUGCCAUGAGCACACGUCCUAUUUCAGGUCACGGUUGGUAUGGUAAUUUUCUACGUAUCAUUUUUUUAAGUAUGAUUAGUGAUUAAACUAUAGAGCUUACUUUCUAAACUUAUUAACUUAGAUAAAAUGAGUUUCUUCUGUUUGUACCAUUGUAGGCAGGCAACUAUUCUAGUUGAAAAUCCUAGCCAUUUAAGCUCACCAAAAAUAACGGAAAAAGUAGUAGUUUUUGGAGGUUUGGGUGUCUCUCUCCUCAUUUGGUGUGGUUUCCUAAUUUGUUGCUCACACGUUCUCCUGCCUUUUUUUUUCCUAUAAGAGGGUUCCCCACUUGACCAUAACUACAAUUCAACUGCCCAUUCCCCUCGCCUCCCGUUUUAGGGGUCUGGAGAGGUUCCAUGGGGUUGAUGAUUGGGGUCUGGGAAUGGAUAAAAAAAAUUAGGAUGCAAAAGUUGAAGUCGGAGUCAUCACCUCUCUUGACGGUGAUAACCAUCGUAGUCAGCGAGACCAAGGUCUACCACUGCUAUCUCUGUCGUUCUCAGGUAUGCCUAUCUCUCCUUUCCCAUGGUCGUCCAGUCAAGCGUGUACGUUGUUUUAGAAGCUGCUUCUUUUCCCUUUCUACCACAUGUCUUUUCUUGCACCACACUUGAACUCAGGUCUAAAGCAAUAUACAAACACAACUUCGUGGAAGAAAAGAAAAGAGAGAAGGUCCGCUUAACUGGUUUUGAACAAGCUUUCCGGUGAUUGAACUCCGAAUGAUACUAAGGUUUGUGAUUGAUCUGCGGCGGAUAAAGUGAAAGAGAUUUUUGUUCGCCUUGAAAUUCUUACAGAUCUGAAUUACAUGCUAUUAUUUGCAAUUGCACUAAAGUAAUGUUUGUUUUCUCAAACAGGUGGCACCUUAUGUGAACUCAUUUGAUGAGUUCUCAUAUACAUGUAAAUGUAAAUAAAAACUUUUGUAAUUACGAAGCUAAAAAACCCGUCUCAGCGGACCGGUACAAUACUUUA